UUAAGAUGAGAGUUUGAUCCUGGCUCAGGACGAACGCUGGCGGCGUGCCUAAUACAUGCAAGUCGAACGCGUCUUGGUUAAAGAUUUUAGGUGCUUGCACUUGAAAGAUUUGACAUUGAGACGAGUGGCGAACUGGUGAGUAACACGUGGGUAACCUGCCCUUGAAGUAGGGGAUAACACUUGGAAACAGGUGCUAAUACCGUAUAACAACCAAAACCACCUGGUUUUGGUUUAAAAGACGGCUUCGGCUGUCACUUUAGGAUGGACCCGCGGCGUAUUAGCUUGUUGGUAAGGUAACGGCCUACCAAGGCGAUGAUACGUAGCCGACCUGAGAGGGUAAUCGGCCACAUUGGGACUGAGACACGGCCCAAACUCCUACGGGAGGCAGCAGUAGGGAAUCUUCCACAAUGGACGAAAGUCUGAUGGAGCAACGCCGCGUGAGUGAUGAAGGGUUUCGGCUCGUAAAACUCUGUUGUUGGAGAAGAACCGUUGUCAGAGCAACUGUUGACAGCUUGACGGUAUCCAACCAGAAAGCCACGGCUAACUACGUGCCAGCAGCCGCGGUAAUACGUAGGUGGCAAG
rnacentral:rRNA from 2 species